rnacentral:rRNA from 1 species
UAAUACGGAGGGGGCAAGCGUUGUUCGGAAUUACUGGGCGUAAAGGGCGCGUAGGCAGCCGGUUGCGUCGGAUGUGAAAGCCCUGGGCUCAACCCGGGAAUGGCAUUCGAUACGGGCUGGCUUGAAGUCGGAAGAGGAGAGUGGAAUUCCCAGUGUAGAGGUGAAAUUCGUAGAUAUUGGGAAGAACACCGAUGGCGAAGGCAGCUCUCUGGUCCGACCUUGACGCUGAGGCGCGACAGCGUGGGGAGCAAACAGGA